rnacentral:misc_RNA from 1 species
GAUGAAGAACGUAGCGAAAUGCGAUACUUGGUGUGAAUUGCAGAAUCCCGUGAACCAUCGAGUCUUUGAACGCAAGUUGCGCCCGAAGCCAUUAGGCCGAGGGCACGCCUGCCUGGGCGUCACACGUCGUUGCCCCCCCAUCUACUCCUUCGGGAUUGCGGGGGGCGGAUGAUGGCCUCCCGUGCGCCUCGCCGCGCGGUUGGCAUAAAUGCCAAGUCCUCGGCGACGCACGCCACGACAAUCGGUGGUUGCGAAACCUCGGUUGCCCGUCGUGUGCGGUCGUCGCGCAUCGAGGGCUCGAAAAAAUUACCGGGUUCCGGCUCGGCUUUCAACGCGACCCCAGGUCAGGCGGGGUUACCCGCUGAAUUUAAGCAUAUCAAUAAGCGGAGGA